ensembl:misc_RNA 7SK 7SK RNA
GGAUGUGAGGGCGAUCUGGCUGGGACAUCUGUCACCCCAAUGAUUGUCAGGGUUGAUUUGGCUGAUCUGGCUGGCUAGGCAGUGUUCCCUUCGUCCCUCACCACUCCAUGUGCAUCCCUCCCAUAGCUGCACAUUUGCUUAAAGAGGACAACCUUCCCCAACGGAGGAGGAUCAUUCUUCGGUCAAGGAUAUAUGAAUAGCUGUGCUCCCCCUAGAACCUCCAAGAAAGUUUUCAAGAAAGCUCUCCUUGGAAAGAUCUCUAGGAUAUGUUAAAAAAAAAAGUGAAAAUAGAAAAAUGUAGAACAUAGAUU